rnacentral:tRNA from 1 species
GCCGGGAUAGCUCAGCUGGGAGAGCGACAGACUGAAGAUGGUUAUGUGUUCUGCAGGUCGGGCGUUCGAGCCGCCCUCCUGGCA